rnacentral:rRNA from 1 species
AGUGAACGCUGGCGGUAGGCCUAACACAUGCAAGUCGAACGGCAGCACAGUAAGAGCUUGCUCUUACGGGUGGCGAGUGGCGGACGGGUGAGGAAUACAUCGGAAUCUACUUUUUCGUGGGGGAUAACGUAGGGAAACUUACGCUAAUACCGCAUACGACCUACGGGUGAAAGCAGGGGAUCUUCGGACCUUGCGCGAUUGAAUGAGCCGAUGUCGGAUUAGCUAGUUGGCGGGGUAAAGGCCCACCAAGGCGACGAUCCGUAGCUGGUCUGAGAGGAUGAUCAGCGACACUGGAACUGAGACACGGUCCAGACUCCUACGGGAGGAAGCAGUGGGGAAUAUUGGACAAUGGGCGAAAGCCUGAUCCAGCAAUACCGCGUGGGUGAAGAAGGCCUUCGGGUUGUAAAGCCCUUUUGUUGGGAAAGAAAAGAAGCAGGUUAAUACCCCGCUGUUCUGACGGUACCCAAAGAAUAAGCACCGGCUAACUUCGUG